AUUGAACGCUGGCGGCAGGCCUAACACAUGCAAGUCGAACGAGUGGCGGACGUGUGAGCAAUGUCUGGGAAACUGCCUGAUGGAGGGGGAUAACUCCUGGAAACGGUAGCUAAUAACGCAUACUCUAAGCUGUGCCCAGAUGGGAUUAUCUAGUUGGUGGGGUAACGGCUUACCAAGGCGACGAUCCCUAGCUGGUCUGAGAGGAUGACCAGCCACACUGGAACUGAGACACGGUCCAGACUCCUACGGGAGGCAGCAGUGGGGAAUAUUGCACAAUGGGCGCAAGCCUGAUGCAGCCAUGCCGCGUGUAUGAAGAAGGCCUUCGGGUUGUAAAGUACUGUCAGCGGGGAGGCGUUACCCGCAGAAGAAGCACCGGCUAACUCCGUGCCAGCAGCCGCGGUAAUUC
rnacentral:rRNA from 1 species